rnacentral:rRNA from 1 species
GUGCCAGCAGCCGCGGUAAGACGGAGGGUGCUAGCGUUGUUCGGAAUUACUGGGCGUAAAGGGCGCGUAGGCGGCCUGUUAAGUCGGUUGUGAAAGCCCGGGGCUCAACCCCGGAACGGCAGCCGAGACUGGCGGGCUCGAGACCGGGAGAGGUGGGUGGAAUACCCAGUGUAGAGGUGAAAUUCGUAGAUAUUGGGUGGAACACCGGUGGCGAAAGCGGCUCACUGGCCCGGUUCUGACGCUGAGGCGCGAAAGCGUGGGGAGCAAACAGGAUUAGAUACCCCCGUAGUCC